GAUGAACGCUGGCGGCGUGCCUAACACAUGCAAGUCGAGCGGGAUUCAUGAGGACGAAACUUCGGUCUAGAAAUCAUGAUGAGAGCGGCGGACGGGUGAGUAACGCGUAGGCAACCUGCCCUUAGCACAGGGAUAGCCUCGGGAAACCGGGAUUAAAACCUGAUAAUGCCAAACAGUCACAUGGCUGUUUGGCCAAAGAUUUAUCGGCUAAGGAUGGGCCUGCGUCUGAUUAGUUAGUUGGUGGGGUAACGGCCUACCAAGACGACGAUCAGUAGCCGACCUGAGAGGGUGAUCGGCCACAUUGGAACUGAGACACGGUCCAAACUCCUACGGGAGGCAGCAGUGGGGAAUAUUGCACAAUGGGCGAAAGCCUGAUGCAGCAACGCCGCGUGAGCGAUGAAGGCCUUUGGGUCGUAAAGCUCUGUCCUAGGGGACGAACAAAAUGACGGUACCCUUGGAGGAAGCCCCGGCUAACUACGUGCCAGCCGCCGCCGUAA
rnacentral:rRNA from 1 species